rnacentral:rRNA from 1 species
GAAUAUUGGUCAAUGGCCUAACGGCUGAACUGGCAACUUGGAGAAGUGGCAAGUCUUCCAGUAUGGGGAGCAAAACAGCUAUGGGUCAAGUCCGAUAUCUUUAGGAGAAGUCUUAUUGUGAGGGCGAGUUAUAUAACACCAUAGGACUGGCCGUCCCAUAUGAAAAGAUUAUAUUAGAAUUGAAUGAAGCUUUGUUUAUAUAUUGAUAAUGACAGUAUAUAUAUCGUGUCUUGACUAAUUGCGUGCCAGCAGUCGCGGUAAUACGUAAGAGACUAGUGUUAUUCAUCUUAAUUAGGUUUAAAGGGUACCCAGACGGUCAAUAUAGCUUAUAAAAUGUUAGUACUUGACUAGAGUUUUAUGUAAGAGGGCAGUACUUGAGGAGGAGAGAUGAAAUUUCGUGAUACCAAAGGGACUCUGUAAAGGCGAAGGCAGCCCUCUAUGUAAAAACUGACGUUGAAGGACGAAGGCACAGAGAACAAACAGGAUUAGAUACCCAAGUAGUCUUUGCAGUAAAUGAUGAAUGCCAUAGGUUAGAUUGGUCAAUUAUAGUCUAGGGUUAGUCUAGCAAACUAAUACCCUAUGCUAUAAUCCUAAUAUCUGGUCUAUAAAUGAAAGUGUAAGCAUUUCACCUCAAGAGUAAUGUGGCAACGCAGGAACUGAAAUCACUAGACCGUUUCUGACACCAGUAGUGAAGUAUGUUAUUUAAUUC